CUACGGGAUGCUCCAGUUAGGAAUAUUUUGCAAUGCGCGUAAGCGUGACAAAUUGAGUCAGAGUGAUUUUCAAAUUUGAAAAUCUUUUGCCAAAUGUAAAAAGUUUGGCGAAUAAGGACUGGGUAAGACGAGUGCCAGCCGCCGCGGUAAUACUCGCGGUCCAAGUCGCAGCCAUUUUUAUUGGGUCUAAAACAUCCGUAGCUUGUUCAAUAAGUUUCUUGUGAAAUUCCAUAUCUCAAAUAUGGAGCGAGCAAGAAAUACUGUUGGGCUAGAGACUGGAAGACGGAAAAAGUACGUUUUAAGUAAUGGUAAAAUAUGUUCAUCUAAAACGGACUCACAACAGCGAAGGCAUUUUCCGAGAACAGUUCUGACAGUAAGGGAUGAAGGCUAGGGGCGCAAAACGGAUUAGAUACCCGCAUAGUC
rnacentral:rRNA from 1 species